rnacentral:rRNA from 1 species
GACGAACGCUGGCGGCGUGCUUAACACAUGCAAGUCGAAUGGAAAGGCCCUGCUUUCGUGGGGUGCUCGCGUGGCGAACGGGUGAGUAACACGUGAGUAUCCUGCCCUUGACUUUGGGAUAACUUCAGGAAACUGGGGCUAAUACCGGCUAGGAGCUCCUGCUGCAUGGUGGGGGUUGGACAGCUUCGGCGGGAUGGGAUGGACUCGCGGCUUAUCAGCUUGUUGGUGGGGUAGUGGCUUACCCAGGCUUUGACGGGUAGCCGGCCUGGGAGGGUGGCCGGGGACAUGGAUACUGAGGGACGGACCAGACGCCUACAGUGGGCAACGGUGGAAAGUAUGACACAGUGAGCGGGAGCCUGUGAAGGAAGCGCCGGGAGCGUGAAGACGGCCUUCUGGGGGGGAACCGCAGUAACCUGUUACGUAGCGGGUUUGACGGUAAUGAGUGAAGAAGCACCGGCUAACUACGUG